rnacentral:misc_RNA from 1 species
GAUAAGAACGUAGUGAAAUGCGAUAAGUAAUGUGAAUUGCAGAAUUCAGUGAAUCAUCGAAUCUUUGAACGCAUCUUGCGCUCCUUGGUAUUCUGAGGAGCAUGCCUGUUUGAGUGUCAUUAAAUUCUCAACUACACUGACUUUGAAUUGGUGUGGCUUGGAUUUGGGUGGGAAAAUUGUUGUGGGCUUUUUGUAUAGUCUGCUCCCCUGAAAUUGAUUAGCGGUACCUUUGUGGAACUGUCUACAGGUGUGAUAAUUAUCUACAUCCUAGACAUCUGCUGGAAUGCUGCUUUCUAAACCUUACUUGUAUUGACAAUCUUGACCUCAAAUCAGGUAGGACUACCCGCUGAACUUAAGCAUAUCAAUAAGCGGAGGA